UAGUAAAAUUUUGAAGGUAAAUUCUGCCCAAUGAUUAAUUAAAUGGCUGCAGUAUUCUGACUGUGCAAAGGUAGCAUAAUAAUUAGUCUUUUAAUUGAAGGCUGGUAUGAAUGAAUAUAUGAGGGAUUAGUUUUAUUUUUUUUAUUUCUUGAAUUUGAUUUUUAAGUAAGAAAGCUUAAUUUUUUAUUUGGGACGAUAAGACCCUAUAGAACUUUAAAAUUUGAUAUUUUUUAUUAAGUUUUUAGUUUAGGUAAAUUUUUAUUUAUAUUAAUUUUUUUGUUGGGGCGGUAAAUAAAUUUGACUUUAUUUUUUUAAUUCAUUUAUUUAUGUAUUUUUGAUCCAAUUAUUGAUUAAAAGAUUAAGUUACCUUAGGGAUAACAGCGUAAUUUUAAUGGGGAGUUCAUAUUUAUAUUGAAGUUUGCGACCUCGAUGUUGAAUUAAGAUAAGAUUGAGGGGUAG
rnacentral:rRNA from 1 species